rnacentral:lncRNA from 1 species
UGCCUCUUCUUGAGGGAUCACAUGAUUUUGUCUCAGUUGUGUAGAGCCGUUGCCCUUAUCUUAGGGGACUGAGAUUUUUCUAUUUUGAGUUUCUUGUUUUUUUGUUUCAAUACUAUGACUUUGUGGGGUGUUGUCAAUGCACUCAUCAAGGGGGAGAUUGAGGACCAAUGGUGGUCACCCUUGGAUGAUGAGUGAUUGACAACGUUGUGUUGGUAUGAUGUUGCUCUUGGCUUGUGAUGUGCAGGUGUAGGAUGCGACGUGGCGGUCGACGGCGUGCGGUGAAGGUCAAGCGAAAGGUUCAUGCCGAUGGACCAAGGGCGGUGAAGGAUGAACGCGAGUAGGCUUGGACCGAUGGACCCGAGGAGUCCGGGCGAAGUCACGGGCGGUCCACAUGGUGCACGGAAUGGCGAGAGGGCAUGACAGAAUGAGACGGCGUCGGUCGAGUCAAGCGGGAGGCUUGGCGGAGGCCGGACACGCGUCAAUGGACGGUUUGGGUGGUUUGGGCCUCAAAACCACCGCGCAGGCAGGUUUCCCGGUUUGGGCCUCAAAACCGGGGGCGAGCCCGGUGCGGCCGGAGCUUCGAGAAGGAGGGCACGUGGCGUCAUCGCGAAGCUUGCGUCGAGGCGAAGCAAAGUCGUGAAGGCGGCGUGUCCGUCCGAUGCACAUAUAAAAACUUGGACCAAAAUGCCCCUGCGUGGGUAGUUAUCUUAGUUGUAGCUGUAAGGGUAGUAUAGUCUUUCGUCCUGGACUAUAAAUAGGGAUGGGGGGCUGGUUAUUUCAGCACCUCUUUGCUUAGCAACUCAUUAUCUAUUUGCUUAUAGGCUAGUCAUGUGCUAAAAGUGAGAGGAGAGAGGGGGAUUAGAGAGUGAUUACUCUUUUCUCUUAAUUUCUUCAUCUUUAGUGGGUGGAUGAAGGGAGGAGGCUAGUCCUCAUCUUGUAUAGAAGAUGUUCUCGUGAUUUAGCUUUGUUUGUUGUCUCAAAUCGUGCUAAAUCUUUGAUUCCCGAGCGUUUUUCUUUUUCCCUAUUUUCGGAACUAUUUUUGGGGAAUUUUCGUUCAUCAUGUUUGAGCCCGAAUCUCGUGAGAUUGGUUGAAGGGAAAUGUUGCUAGAACCUUGGAGAGCAUCUUUGAUAUGAUCCCCUUUUCAAAUCCCUCACGAAUCCGGCUUGAUUUUGAGUUUUUCCCAAAUCGUGUUCUUGAGUUAGGGUUUCGGUUUUCUCCAAAAUUAGUGAUGAAUUAUUGAGCUUUUCAGGAUUAGUUUCAUGGAUCUAUUUGCCCUUGGGGUAUUGCAUCCUUGUUUCAGAUUUCAUCUCGAUCCGCGAAGUAUAGGAAGAGAUCUUACGAAUUGAAGUUUGGUUCUAGUUCUUGGUGUUCUUCGUUUUCUUUCUGUUCUCCAGGUCGAUCCGACGAACCGGUGGCGGCGCACGCACGGAGCCGCGUGCGAGCCUGGCCAGCAGGCCGAGGGAGCACAGCAGGCCCACAAGCCAGCGGCAGGUCGCAGUCCACCGGGAGGAGCAAGCUGAACCAGCCCACACCGCAACCCAGGCCUGCUGCCACGCACGGCCCAGGAGGAUUCAACCGGCAGGCGGGCCGUGAAGCAGCAGCCUAGCAGGAGCAGAUCAAGGCUAGCAGCCCAUCCGAUCAGCUGUAGGAAGCCAGCUUUUCGACCCAGCUCGUGAAGCUCAGUUUGCAAGCCAGCAGGCCAACAAGUUGCGGCCCAAGCUUCCCUGCAGGCCUAGCACCAGAUUAGCUAGCGUAGCAAAGCAAGUGGUCCACUGUAAGCAAUUCUUUUGUGCGAGUCAUUUAUUUUAAUACAUUGCUAAUUAAUUGUUGUCUGGUUGUUUAGAUAUUUAAUUAGCACCUUCCUUUGCUAAUCCUCGUAUGUUAGAAAAGUAUCUUUAUUUAAUAGUUGCAUGAUCAGAUAAAGUGAGGUUUGCUUGUGGUCAGUAGUGUCUUUGCUUAAUCUCAUUUGCGCAAAGUUGAUGGAGUCGAUUCAUGAUUUGUUUCCGCUGUGAAUUGAAUAUUUCUUAUCGUUCCUAGGGUGAGCCUGUCACGAGUUGACUUGCGUCAUCUUGACGAUACAACGCGCAGUGUGCUUUGGGGUUGCGUUUGGGACAUAGGCCUUGUUCUUGUUAAGAAUUUUUAUAGGCUCCCAUUCACCCCCCCUCUGGUCGCCCUUUCGGUCCUUCACUUCAGCAAUCAGGUAGGUGACCAUUCCCAUUGACGUGGUAAGCAAAUUUUUCACAACGUAGCUUUUACAACUCAGGGUCUGCAAAGGCUGAAGAAUCUUAUUAGGAAGAGGAGGCAUCGAGAGUGAUGGGCUCACUUCCUCUCCUAGUAGUUUUGCGGCAAAUAUGGGAACAGCUGCUGCUUUUCAUUGCGUGCCGUCUGAUGGAGAACCAGAGGCGAGAGGCACCAAGGCUGCUGCAGCAUGAAGAGGCAGAUCCGGAUGAAGAGGAGGACGCUGAGCGCAACGCCUGAUUAGAGCUGGUCAAGAUGUAAAAAGCUCUUUUCCUGGAGAGGAUGAGAGGGAGUCUGAAGUUUGCUACUACUUGUCUAAUACUCUGUAGUUGCUUCCGAGGCGGACUCUUAAUCUGAAAACAUUAGUUUCCUCUCUACGCGAGGUCGUUUGACUAGGUGUUUUUAGCUCGAACCAGGUGAGAUCACUUAGGCGCUCCGUUUUCUCCUCCUACUGUGAUGUAACUAAACUCUGAAAUUUCUGUUCAUGCAAUGGGAAUGG